GAUCACUGCUAAACUAGGGUGUGAUUUAGAGCUAAU
rnacentral:guide_RNA from 1 species